GUAUAGAAAGUUUGAUAUGAAAUUUAUUAGAAAUAAAGUAUUCUUGAUGUGGGCAAGUAUAAGUAAAGGGUAUUUCAUAAUUCAUAAAAUCGUGACAUUAAAAUUAUUUCAUAUUAAUUUACUAUAUUAUAUUAUAUAAUAACCACCAUAGCUUUUUUUUUUUUUAUGAUACAAAUAGACGGUCACAUCAUUCUAGUAUAAGAGCAGUUCAAAG
rnacentral:lncRNA from 1 species